ensembl:lncRNA
CACAUAUCUCAGGUGUAGUAUGAACCACAUAUCUCAGGUGUAGUAUGAACCACAUAUCUCAGGUGUAGUAUGAACCACAUAUCUCAGGUGUAGUAAGAACCACAUAUCUCAGGUGUAGUAUCUCAGGUGUAGUAUGAACCACAUAUCUCAGGUGUAUUGUAGAUAUGUGGUAGUAGAGUAGUGGUCUGAGGGAACACACUUAAUGUAUUGUAGAUAGGUGGUAGUAGAGUAGUGGUCUGAGGGAACACACUUAAUGUAUUGUAGAGUAGUGGUCUGAGGGAACACACUUAAUGUAUUGUAGAGUAGUGGUCUGAGGGAACACACUUAAUGUAUUGUAGAGUAGUGGUCUGAGAGAACACACUUAAUGUAUUGUAGAGUAGUGGUCUGAGGGAACACACUUAAUGUAUUGUAAAAACGUGUUAUGAAAUGUAAUGUCAUGUAGUAUUUUACAUUUUAUAUAACUGCCUUAAUGUUGCUGGACCUCAGGAAGAGUAGCUGGCACCUUGGCUUAUUAGUAAUGGGGAUCCUUAAUAAAUACAAAUAAAUGCAAAUGUAAAUACAUACCCCACAAGACAUGCCACCAGGGGUCUCUUCACAGUCCCCAUGUCCAAAAUGAAUUCACGCCAACACACAGUAUUAUACAGAGCCAUGAUCCCUUUACUCAAGCAACAGCAAAAGUGCAUUUAAAAACAGAUUAAAAACAACGAAGUGUGACACACAUAAACACAUUCUUUUUUAGUUGUUUUAUAAUUAUUUUUUAGUUAGUUAGUUAUUUUUUUAAUAUUAUUUUUUAGUUGCACUGCUUUUAUACCUUGUUUAUAGUUGUAUUUUUUUUAUUUUUAAAUGUGUGCUAAUUUCCUAUCAGUGUUUCUAAAGCCCCGUUUUUACUUGGUGCUAACAUGGGUCCUUAGUCCUGAUCACAUUUCCAGAAAUGUGUCUGUUAUCUGUCCAAUGUUUCUGCAUCAUCACUUCCUGGUCCAUUCCUUUAUGUAAAUUAUUUCACAGCUGUUCUUUCAAAAUGUAUUCAGUCAAUAUUGCCACCUGUCAAUGAGGAAUAACGAUGGUUCAAAUGGUUUCUCUGUCUGUAAGAUAUCCAGACAAUGAGUCUGACUUCCUCUGAAGGUGGAUCUGAUCACAAUGAAAACACAAUGUGUCUUUAGAUUGUCUACACCUGUCUAGAAAUGCAAGUUCGAACCAGGUAUAAACAGAACUUGUGUUUUGUUACUUUUCAUGUUUUGUGGAAGAGAAGCUGCUUCUUCUGCUAAAGCUAAAUGGGGAUCCAAUUAAAUAAAUACACACACACACACACACGCACACACGCACACACGCACGCACGCACGCUACAGACUUAUUCUAAAAUGGAUGACAUUUUUUCCCCCAUCAUCAAUCCACACACAGUACCCCAUAAUGACAUCACAAUACCCCAUAAUGACAUCACAGUACCCCAUAAUGACAAAGCAAAACAUGUUUUUAGAAAUGUUUGCAAAUGUAUAAAACAAUUCAGAACUGAAAUAUAUCUCCCAUUCUUCCCUAAAGAUUCUCUCAAGCUCUGUCAGGUUUGAUGGGGAGCGUUGCUGCACAGCUAUUUUCAGGUCUCUCCAGAGAUGUUCGAUCGGGUUCAAGUCCAGGCUAUGGCUGGGCGACUCAAGGACAUUCAGAGACUUGUCCUAAAGCCACUCAUGACUUGUCUUGGCUGUGUGCUUAGAGGCGAUGCCCUGUUGGAAGGUGAACCUUCAACCCAGUCUGAGGUCCUGAGUGCUCUGGAGCAGGUUUUCAUCAAGGAUCUCUCUGUAUUUUUCUCCGUUCAUCUUUCCCUCGAUCCUGACCAGUCUCCCAGUCCAUGCCGAUGAAAAACAUCCCCACAGCAUGAUGCUGCCACCACCGAGCUUCACCGUAGGGAUGGUGCCAGGUUUUCUUCAGACGUGACGCUUGGCAUUUCUCAUGGUCAGAGUUCUUGAGGUGCCUUUUUUUGCAAACUCCUAGCGGGCUGUCAUGUACCUUUUACUGAUGAGUGGCUUCCGUCUGGCCACUAUCAUAAAGGCCUGAUUGUUGGACUGCUGCAGAGAUUGUGUCUUACUGGAAGGUUGUUUUCCGAAUGUUCUUCCAUCUCCACAGAGGAACUCUGGAGCUCUGUCAGAGUGACCAUUGGGUUCUUGAUCACCUUCCUGACCAAGGCCCUUCUUCCUCGAUUGCUCAGUUUGGCCGGGCGGCCAGCUCUUAGAAGAGUCUUGGUGGUUCCAAACUUCUUCCAUUUAAGACUGGUGGAGGCCACUGUGUUCUUGGGGACCUUCAAUACUGCAGACAUGUUUUGGUACCUUUCCCCAGAUCUGUGCCUCGACACAAUCCUGUCUCGGAGCUCUACAGACAAUUCCUUUGACCUCAUGGCUUGGUUUUUGCACUGACAUGCACUCUCAAAUGUGGGACCUUAUAAUAACAGUAUGUGUGCGUUUGCAAAUCAUGUCCAAUCAAUUGAAUUUACCACAGGUGGAGUCCAAUCAAGUUGUCGAAAGAUCUCAAGGAUGAUCAAUGGAAUCAGGAAGCACCUGAGCUCAAUAUCGAGACUCAGAAAAAGGGUCUGAAUACGUAUUAUUAUUAUUAUUAUUAUUUUCUAUAAAUUAACAAAAAUGUCUAAAAACCUAUUUCUCUUUUGGCAUGAAUGAUUAUUGAGAACAAAUAAAUGUUGCAUCCAUUUUUAAAUAAAUAUGUAACGUAACAAAAUGUGUAAAAAGUCAAAGGGUCUGAAUACUUUCUGAUUGAACUGUGUACAUAUAAGAACACAGAAAACAUAAUGAUAUACAGAACCAGUCAACAGUUUGGACACGACUCCUCAUUCAAGGGUUUUUCUUUAUUUUGUGUGCGAAACUGUCAUCAAGGCCUACUAUGAAGAAUCACAAAAAUAAAAUAUAUUUUUAUUUGUUUAACACUUUUUUUUGUUCACUACAUGAUUCCAUAUGUGUUAUUUCAUAGUGUUGAUGUCUUCACUAUUAAUCUACGAUGUAGAAAAUAGUACAAAUAAAGAAAACCUUUGAAUGAGUAGGUGUGUCCAAACUUUUGACUGGUAGUGUAUAGGAGUUGUAACAUUGUAAUAGUAAACUAUAUGUGAGGAGGUAAAGGAGUUGUAACAUUGUAAUAGUAAACUAUAUGUGAGGAGGUAUAGGAGUUGUAACAUUGUAAUAGUAAACUUUCUGUGAGGAGGUUGGUACUGACCCCUUCAUACAAACAAUCCAGAACCAACAAACACCCAAGCAGCCCAGGGUACCAAGCUCCCCAUUAGAGUCCAACACCCAAGCAGCCCAGGGUACCAAGCUCCCCAUUAGAGUCCAACACCCAAGCAGCCCAGGGUACCAAGCUCCCCAUUAGAGUCAAACACCCAAGCAGCCCAGGAUACCAAGCAGCCCAGGGUACUAAGCUCCCCAUUAGAGUCAAACUCCCAAGCAGCCCAGGUUACCAAGCUCCCCAUUAGAGUCAAACACCCAAGCAGUCCAGGUUACCAAGCUCCCCAUUAGAGUCAAACACCCAAGCAGUCCAGGGUACCAAGCUCCCCAUUAGAGUCAAACACCCAAGCAGCCCAGUGUACCAAGCUCCCCAUUAGAGUCAAACACCCAAGCAGCCCAGGAUACCAAGCAGCCCAGGGUACCAAGCGGCCCAGGUUACCAUGCUCCACAUCAGAGUCUGGAGUUAGGACACCUGCAAAAAAGAAGGCUGAUAUGGAGGAUUUAAUUCAGGGAGAAGUGGAGAAAAGUCCCUCUAAUGAGCCAUCCAGACCGAAACCAUUGAUGAAUGGUGGAACAUGAAUGAUUGAAAUAAUCUAUUUUUGAGUAGCCUAUAUUAUCUGGUUCAUAGAGAGACCUUCUGUGUAUGUUAGCAUUAACCUCUGUUGCUAACAUGGCUUUUCAAGAGAAUGAGCAAUCUGCAGAUAAUCUCACUUUAAUGCAAAAUCUUGAUACGUGUCCUAAACAAAACCUGCCUUCGAGACAUAAACUCAGUUCCCUUAAACCCAGCGAUUAGAAAACAUUGUACCAUGAACCUUUUUCAAAUCGUUAAUCAGACUAAAGUGGUCUGGGACCCUCGUUCCAAGCCUCCAGGAAUAUUACGAGGUCAUCUGAAUAUUCAUAGCAUUAUUUUUAAGAGUGAACAGGUGGAACAUUUAUUGACUGACUCUAAUCUCUUAUCUGUUUUCUGAAAAAUCUUCUCCUAUUUAUAUAUUCAAUAUACACAUAUUGUUAAGAAGUUAACUGAAUCUAUGGUCUACGUCUCUAAAUGGUUGGCUGAUUCUGAGCCUGUAUUUAAAUAUUCACAAGACUGUUUGUAUGUACUUCUCUAAGAAAUCCGUUGAUUCUUCUCAACAAACUGAUGUUGUCAAUUUGGAGAAACUUUGUGGUGUCUAACUUCAGGUAUCAUCAUUUUGGACACCCAAUACUGAAGAAACAAGUGAAGAAGAUGGUCAAGUUUGGAUUAUCCAAUUCAAGGUUUAUCAAGGCCUUUCCUUCCUCUGGAGGCCUGCCUCCUGCAUGCUAUGAUCGUCACUUAUCUGAGACAUUGUGUCACGUUCUGACCUUAGUUCCUUUGUUUUGUCUUUGUUUUAGUGUGGUCAGGGCGUGAGUUGGGGUGGGCAGUCUAUGUUCAUUGUUCUAUAAUUUGGGAUUUCUGUGUUUGGCCUGGUAUGGUUCUCAAUCAGAGGCUGCUGUCAAUCAUUGUCCCUGAUUGAGAACCAUACUUAGGUAUCCUGGUUUCCCCUUUGAGUUGUGGGUGAUUAUUUUCUGUUGUGUGUAUGUUACCUUUCAGAACGGUUUUCGUUUCUCCUUUGUUAUUUUGUUGAGUGUUCUCGGUUUAAUAAAUAUAUGAUGAACACUUACCGCGCUGCGCAUUGGUCCGAUCUCUCCUACUCCUCCUCAGACGAAGAAGACGAGCGUUACACAUUGACACAUGUGCUGGUAACAUUUAAGAUUUUUUUUAUAACAAAACAAACAGUUACCACCAUUGUCACAUCGAUUCACAAACAUAAUUUAUUCCGUCUGGAUAGCAUGCAGCAGUAUGUAGAUGCCUUGUCUUUAGACCCUGCAUGGUCUUGCCCCUCCACCCCUAAGCCGGCAUAUCCUGCUCAAGGAAAGCACCUCCAGGAUAACAAGGGCAGUAACUAGAGGGGAUCGAGUUGUCCCUUUU